rnacentral:tRNA from 1 species
AAAAAUUUAGUUAAAAAAUAACACUAGCCUGUCAAGCUAGAAUUGCUUUAAAAGCAUUUUUUA